rnacentral:lncRNA from 1 species
UAAAUCAUUCAUUCUUAUAUAUGUGGGCUUAUGAUCCAUAGUUCUUCAUGUUGGGCUAAACCCAUGGAUACUCCAUGGAGGUUUUAACCCAUUGUGCUUGAAGAAUAUGGAAAGAUAUGAGUUACAUGGUGUAACCCUAAUAGCCACACAAUAUAUAAGGACCCCAUGACUCAAGAAAUUGGCACUAGUGUGUGUAUACAUGAGGGCUAGCCGAUUUGAGCAUAGGAACCUUUUCUCUCAAGUUAUUCCAAGAUGUUGGUGAUGUUGUGUCAACCAUUUGAGGUCACACUUGAGGCAGUAUGCUCUUAAGCUCCAUGGAAUCAAGCUAAAACAAAGAGGUGUGUAAUUCUACUAGAAUUUAUAUUAUAUGUACUUCAUAUUAACGUUGUUAUAACAAUACCUUGUAAGAUUGAUAUUUGCAUGUAUAAUAGAGAAAACAUAGAUCCAAGUUAUUUGGGGUUGCAUGUACACCUUAGGAGUGUUAGAAUGCCCAAAACCCUUCGGUGGUUUUAGAUCCUAGGCUUGUUUUUAAUUAUACUUGAUGCAAAUUGCUAAAAAAAUGCUGAAAAAUUCGAUUUUCUGCUGUUCUGGACAGUGGACUCGCCGAGUCCAUUCAUAAAAUCAUCCAACUCGUCGAUUUGGUUCAUGCACUCGACGAGUUGGACCCCCAAACAACAUAUUUUCGAGGUUUUUGGCUGGAAUUGGACUAGGAACAUUACCCUAAGCUAUUUUUGAACUUGUAAACCUGUUUUUGAUGUGGUAAUGUUAAUGCUAAUCCAAUUUCAUAGAUAAUUGUCAGUAGAUUCAUGUUUUGUAUUAGUUUAAUGGUUAGGCUAAUUACAUGAAAAAUGUUUGAUUUGAAUUAUCUUGUUCUUAUGAGUUGAUUUAGAUAAAGAGAAAAGUUAUGUGAUAAUAUGUUUUCAAUCCAAAUUAAUCUAAAAGUUGUUCAUAAUAUGAGUUUUUGUAACUUGUCCUCAAGUUAUAUGAAAAGUCACAUUUAUGAUUAUUAAAACUCAUAAGAUUUCCAUAAGUUAUGAAAAUGGGGAGUCUCAUUUUUAAAUGUUUUAAAGUCGUCCAUAACUUGUCCUCAAGUUAUGGAACUUGAAGAGUUUUUUAAUUAAAACUACUUUAAACACAUAAGUUAUGAAAUUGAAAAGUUUUUGAAUAGUUCAAAACUUUCCCUCAAGUUUUAGAAUUUGUAAAGUUUCCCCUCAUGAAUACUUUAAUUCCAAGUUAAGCCCUUAGAAUUUUAAAUGUUAAAAUUCAACCCUUAUACUUUAUAGUAUUAUAAGUUAAUAAUAUACAUGUAUAAGNUAAUCUUACCAUUAGUAGACCUCAUUCACGAAGCCGAUCUAUAAGGGGGGUAUAAGGUUACUACCUAUAAAAUGGCAUUUUAAUGGAUGUCCACUCUCACCCACCGCUUCCUUGACUGGUGGAGGGUCGUUAGCCGAACGGGUAGGACAAGGACUAGAAUUCUCCCUUCAUUAAAAGUAUUAAUGAUAAAUAUAAAGUAACUAAACCUUUUAUAAAUUCCCAAUCUUAGUUACUUUAGGAAAAUGUGAAUUUGGUGCUAACCCAUGAAAUUACACUUUGCACUUUGCUUAAGUCGGUUAAUGGAGCGCGUGUGGUUAACCAGCACACUAGCUUGAUUUAACAUGGUAGGAAAAGGGUAACUUAAUGUUUAUCAUAGUAUCGGUGGAGCGUGUGUGGUUAACCGACACAUCGAUUGAGGGGUAAAUAUUAAGGGUACCGAGUAUAUUUGCAUGGUUAUUUACACCUUGAUUUGUGAUCCUCGGCAUCCCAGUCACAAAACUUGAGAUGGCACAAUCAAGAUUGAAACAUGCCAUUGAAAAGUUCAAUGAAUCUCAAAAGAUCUAGGAGUUUCAAAUCCAAUCAAAACCUAAUAAAUUAUUUCGUUUUUCAUGGUGGAAAUUGGUGAAUCGUCAUUCGCCUACCUUCAAAUAUUCUAUAGCUUGGAUUACGGCAUCCCUCUUCCAAGUUAUAAAAUAUUGCGUUGGGUCAUAGCCUUAAUAUUUCAUAUUGGGUGUUAUAUUAAGGACUUUAAAUCAAUUAUCAUGAAUAUCUCCCAAAAGAUGUUUGGUUCAGACAAUUAUGAUAUUCCCAAAACAAAACUCUUGGAACAAGCUUUCCUAAUGAAGAUGAUGUCCCAAAAAUCAUUCUUCACUCCCUCCAUCUCCUCCAAUUAUUCUCCCUAACCCACAAGUUCUUGAAUAGUUCAAGGUCACUCAUGCCCUAUUGUCAAGCAAAGUCUAUAUGUGCUCACAUCUUGGAGAUAAAGUCACAUAUUAACAAGCCGGGAGAGUUGGGUGUCAAAGUCUUGAGAAAGAUGGUUGUUCAAUCACUUUAUAAGUCACAUAGUGAGUUUCCUUUGGGACUAGUAUGAAAUAGACUAUGACAUGACCCUUAAUGAUCUUAUCUAUUUGCUUAGUGAUGCUGAAUCAACAAUGAUUUGGAGGACUGGUAGAGCAAAUUUGAUUAAGAUGAUCAACUUCCCAGACUUCUAUGGACAUUGACAAUGGUAACAUUGAAUAUCCAGAAAAGCUUUCUCCUCCCAAUGGAAAGGGAUCGGCCAUAGUGAACUCAGUUGACCAAAUGGUAAAAAGAAUGGCUAGGUCUGAUAUAGUCCCAUGCACCAUACAAAAGAGUCCAUAUGUUUCUAUUGCCAAAGGAAGGGGCAUUGGUUGCGAAUCUGCCCUAACUACCCGAAUGAUCUAAGAGAAGGUCUAGUUAAAAAGCUUGACUCUGCUUCAGGUAAGUCCACUAUCUAACUCAAUUAAGUUCCCAUUUGGAGAUUCUUAAUACAUUUUGAUUUAUGGCAGGAUUAAGCAAGGGGAAGGAAACUUAAAGAAAGAGUAUGUUGAAUCUAAUCGCGAAGAUGGAUUUCAAUCGCAUGGUUCGAAGAUCGGAUUCUUGUGCUACUACUUAGGAGUUAUGAUAGAUUGCUAGAAAAUAUGUAAUAGCAUAGUUUUCAUUUAAAGUUGCAGUGUAAGGAAAAAGUUUUUCCGCAUGUUAUAAAUAAAUAAAAUUUUGUUUUAUUUUAUUAUAUUUCCUUGGAAUGGCACUUAUGAAAAAUUGAUGUUUGUAUGUUUUUAGCAAUAAUGGAAAUAUGAAUUUGAUAGUAUGAUGAAUGAGAACUUUCAUCUUUGGAAAAUUAAGACCAAUUCCUUAUUCACAUGUAUAUGUGAGUCAAGUGAAGGACAAAGGGAUCAGGUACACUUGGUUGUGCACUGGUCAGGUCCACCACAAAGAUCGAUAAGACUAUUCGUCAUGAUUUACUAAAGUUUAGUAAAUAUGGUUAUACUUACAAGUUUAAGUAUAAUUCUAAAACAUUGGAAUAGUAACGAUGUAUUGCAGGACAAAUGAGAAGAAUCAAAUUAGGCAGACAGAUAAAAGUUUCUCAAAUCUAAAAAGAUGGGAGAGUACUUUAGUAUCAUGUUUUGUGAUCAUCUUAAUGAUUAAGAAACCAUUUCAUAAUUGGUCCUCUAAGGACAUCUUAGUGCAUUCCUAUGGCUAAGAAGAGGAAUCAAAAAUUGUUAAAAUGGUUAAAUCAAGAAGAUGAGUCAUACUUCGUUCCAAACAAUUCUUAGAGUCAUACUCCAAGAUUGUAACUUGAGUGACAUAUCUUAAAGAAAGGUUUAUUAAAAAUAUUCAAAUGUAAGAGUAAAGUGUGUCCUACUCUUGUGCAUUUGAAAUUGGUAAGUUGUGAUGUUUUGGAUAAAACAAAGACCAACUAAGGCCGAUUGUGUGAAGUGUUUAUCUUGAUAAAGAAUCUGCACUAUCUCUUGAAUAUUUGGCAAGUGAGUCCUAUAUGUCAAGAGGACAGUGGGAGUCUUAAAGAUCUUGAAAAAGCUUCAAGGUCUAAUCAAGAAUAAAAACAUGUUGUCUAUCACUAGUGCACGACGUGAGGUUUAUAACCUAUCGUGUUGACAUAUUCCUAUUUUUGUGCCCCUUCCAGCUAAAGUUGGCUUUUCAUAUGAGUAAUGAGAGUUCUCAAUUGGUUGCAUAACAACUUGGAAGCAAUGGCAGGCCCUUGUGCUGCCAGGUGGCAAGAAGUUAAGACUGCACAAGUUCAAUCCAUAUGAGUUUGGAUUUAUCACUAACCUUGUAUUGUGAUUAUGGUUUUGACAAAUUCACAUAGAUAGGAACACUUACACCAUAAAAUCUAAGUGUCAUAAAGUUUCUCUCCGAUUCAUGAAAAUGACGAUGAGGAAACGCUUUCACUAAGUAGAUUUUAGGUAGAUAGCAAGUGUGAUAUUUGCAUUCUCAAUGUCGUUAGUGGAGCGUGUGUGGUUAACCGACACGCUAACAUGGACUUGUGGGGAAUAAAAAAGGUAUAAACAAUUGCGACUAUAAUUACAACAUCCCUUUUCAUAGUUCUGAAAUUGUUCAGACACACAUGUGUGCUAUCUAAGGAAACGUGUAUGAUUUUGACAAAGUUUUUUUUUAUCAAAGCAUCUCGUAUCAAAAAUUUGAACUUUAGUAAGAAAGUCAAUAAAGUAUUGGUUUCUAUAACUCUAGCUGAUAUCUGAGUACAUGUCAAAGCUAGUAGGAGUAUAAGUGUUAUGCUGAUAAUUCUCAUGUUAGUGGGAGCAUGAUAAUUAUGAUAAGUGUUGCAAGUUAGCAAUGUUAAUUAUAGAAGACAAAAGUUUCCAUUGGGAAAAAGUUGUUUUGUUAUAAUUAAGGGAGAGGAAAUUAUACUUCAUUUCAAUCCUAAAAGCUUAGAUUGAGGUUUUAAUCAUCUUUAGUCAAGGGUAUAUAUAUGAAUUUUAUGUUGGAAUGGCUCAACAUAAGGAAAUUCUAUAUAUGGGACCAUUAUUUGCAUUCUAAAAUUCGAUUAUGAUUACGGCAUCCCGUUUCAUAAUCUAAAUUUUGAGAACAUGACAAAUAAAAAUAGAAAUAUUAUGCAAAAGAAUGGUAUAGUCUUUAUGCGAGACAUUAUGAAUCGUGUCCCAUAUGCUUCAGAUAUAGGAUCGAUUGCAUGUGCUUUAAUAUUCAUUUGUUCUAAAUUUUUCCAAAUGCCUAGAGCAUUAAGAGGGAAAAAGUACUAGAACUAGAUAUGACUAAUUUGAUUAAGCAAUUGUUGAGGACAAUCUAAGGUUUACCAAAUAUUGGUUGCUCAGGGACAGUUGGAAGUAUAGUGUUAAUUUCGGAAGGACCAUAUUAACAUAUUCUGAAAAGAAGCAACUCUUGUUCAGGAGUGAUAGUCAAAAUGAGAAUAUGGAAAUGUUCCCAUAGGUGGAAGUUAUUCAUUAAAUCUGUGUAAGAUUAGGAAACUUAAUGCAAGAAGGAUGUUCAAAGCAAUGUACAUUGAAUUUGAGACUUCGUGUCCAUGGAAUGAUCUCCAUUGGAAUACUCUGUAAUGUCUGUUGACAAGUCUUUGUGGCUUUGUGCAUAAUCAUUACAAGAAGAUCAAAACAUAUAAGUUUAGAAUCUAACAGAUUUAGGUAAAUGGCCAGAAUUUGGAAUUCUUUCAUUUGCGGUAAGGAUUUGGGAUUAUGAAAUGAGAAUCAUUGGAAUUGUGUUCAAUCGAUCUAUUUCACAAAGUAAAGAUCAUAGACAAACCUACUGUGCAUACUUGGUAUAUGGCAUAACUAAUGUUUGGAAAAAUAUAGUGUGCAUAUUUGGUGUAUGGCAUGACUAGUGUUUAGAAAACAUAAUGUACAUGCUUGGAGCAUGGGGCAACUAUUGUUUUAAUUCAAGUAUAAAGCUGAUAGUUUGAAACAGUAUGCAAUGAAUGAUGUGUAAUCAAUAUGGUGAUAAAUAAAAGGUGUUUUAUUUAUAUUCAUAAGUUCUAAGACCAUAUUGGAUUCGAUUAUUCUUGUGUUUCACUUUACAUGUUUUGACUUCCAGAACAAUUAGGUCAUUCUUCCCGAUUGCCUAAUUUAUUCAAACCAUCCACAGUCGGUCAUAUGUUGGAAGUAGAUAUGAAUCAAGACUGUCAUGAAGCUGGAUUGAAGAUGUCCAAGGUAUGGGACAUAGCAAGAGUUGCUGCAACAUUCAUGAGUGCUCAUAAGUUUUGAGUAUUGGAUUAAACCCAUGCUCAUUUGACUUACUUCAUGGAUUUUAUCACGAGUGAUCAUGAGACGAUAAUAUCUUAUAUUCUUUAAACCUAGAGAUAUGAGUUGUUGCCUAUGAGUUGGUUAUACAUUGAUUGUAUGAAAACGCAUUGGUAACUCGAUGUUAUAAAACAUGCCUUUGUGUAUGAUUCAACAAGUAGUAGAACAAGUAUAUGAGUCGAAUUUUAUCCAUUAUUUUUAACCUUGAAAGGAUAAAGAUAUAUAUGUAGGCCCCUCGAUGAUUUAGUGAUGACACCCCGAAGUGCUUAGCCAAGCCAGGACUAAUUUGAUUUGUUCAAUUAGUCAGUCGUCAUAAAUCGGAAAUCGAGAAACAACAAAUGGACAGAGAGAAUGAUUAUAAUCCAUGUCUCAGUCCAUAUGAUAUCUAGAAUGGAUGAAUAUAUGAUCCCUUAUCUAAUGGACACGUCAUUGAUUUGUUCAGAGUUCGAAAACAACUUUUAAGAGCUACGAUUGCUAGUCGGGUUUUGAAGUCAUACGCAAUAAUAGUUUUAGACUUAUCUAAGUGAGAGACUGUUGGAUUAGUGUCUAAUCCAUAACUAUAAUUGGUAUGUACUUGACCCGAUUGGCAUGGUCCAUUUGGGUUGCAUGGCAUUGGAACAAUUUGGAUAGACUUUUGUGAGAAAAUGGUAUUUAUGAUUUGUUAAUAUAUUAUAAGUUCUAAUAUAUUAAUAUGAAAUCAUAUUAUUUAAUUAUUAUUGAUCAAUAAUUAAUUUGGAAUUAAAUUCNGAUAGACUUUUGUGAGAAAAGGAUAUUUAUGAUUUGUUAAUAUAUUAUAAGUUCUAAUAUAUUAAUAUGAAAUCAUAUAAUUUAAUUAGUAUUGAUCAAGAAUUAAUUCGGAAUUAAUUUUUUGAUCACAAGGAGACUAAUUAAAUAUAUGGGGAUUGAUUGUGUGAAUCAUUCAUUCUUAUAUAUCUGGGCUUAUGAUCCAUAGUUCUUCAUGUUGGGCUAAGCCCAUGGAGUAACCCAUGGAUAUUGCAUGGAGGUUUUAACCCAUGGAGCAUGAAGAAUAUGGAAAGACACAAGUUACAUGGUGUAACCCUAAUAGCCACAAUAUAUAAGGACCCCAUGACUCAAGAAAUUGGUACUAGUGUGUGUAUACAUGAGGGCUAGCCGAUUUAAGCAUAGGAACCUUUUCUCUCAAGUUAUUCCAAGAUGUUGGUGAUGUUGUGUGAACCAUUUGAGGUGUCACACUUGAGGCACUAUGCUCUUAAGCUCCAUGGAAUCAAGCUAAAACAAAUAGGUACGUAAUUCUACUAGAAUUUAUAUUAUAUGUACUUCAUAUUAUGCUAGUUA